GUACUGAAAUCAGUAGCCCUUCACCGACACCUGGAAUCAGCAAUUGCACUCCGGCUGGACUGACCACUACGAAUUUCCCAAAUGUGGAAAUCUCAAUUGAAUCAUUUCUGGUAGUGUGGGACUGCGUUCGCGCUCUCCCCUG
ensembl:snRNA U1 U1 spliceosomal RNA